rnacentral:tRNA from 1 species
GGCACUAUAGCCAAGUGGUUACGGCGACAGAUUCGAACAAAAGUUCGCGGGUUCGAACCCCAGUAUAAUCUGUUCCUCUAUGAGGGCGCAGGUUCAAAUCCUGCUGGUGUCG